rnacentral:rRNA from 1 species
UACGUAGGGGGCAAGCGUUGUCCGGAAUCAUUGGGCGUAAAGAGCGUGUAGGCGGUUCGAUAAGUCUGUUCUGAAAGUCCAAGGCUCAACCUUGGGAUGCGGAUGGAUACUGUCGAACUCGAGUCCGGAAGAGGAGUGUGGAAUUCCUGGUGUAGCGGUGAAAUGCGCAGAUAUCAGGAGGAACACCGAUGGCGAAGGCAGCACUCUGGGACGUGACUGACGCUGAGACGCGAAAGCGUGGGGAGCAAACAGG